GACAGAGGUGCCAAGCGUUAGGCGGAAUCACUGGGCUUAAAGCGUGUGUAGGCGGGUCGUUAAGUACCUUGUGAAAUCCCUCGGCUUAACCGGGGAACUGCGUCUGAUACUGGAUGGCUUGAGUUUGGGAGAGGGAUGCGGAAUUCCAGGUGUAGCGGUGAAAUGCGUAGAUAUCUGGAGGAACACCGGUGGCGAAGGCGGCAUCCUGGACCAACACUGACGCUGAGUGAGCGAAAGCCAGGGGAGCAAACGGG
rnacentral:rRNA from 1 species